rnacentral:tRNA from 10 species
UAGUAAGUGGUGUAGUGGAAGCACAGAGAGUUUUGAUCUCUCCGGGUAGGGUUCGAACCCCUUCUUUCUAA